AAGUCGUAACAAGGUUUCCGUAGGUGAACCUGCGGAAGGAUCAUUAACACGUUUCAUAACGUUACUUACCAACCUCGUGAACUGUGACCCUUCUUCUAGGCUGUGAUGGGGAGGUAUCGCGUAGGAUAUGAAGUUCCUGUCCUUCGUGUCAGCGUUCCUCAGGUGCCUUCCCACCAUGGCUUAUGUCUACCAACCCUUUUAUUCAAUUUUUAAUCUUCAAUACGUUUUAAGAUACGUGCUAACCUCGGUUAGUAAUGUCAUCUUAUUACAAACUUGUACAACUCUUAGCAACGGAUGUCUUGGUUUCC
rnacentral:misc_RNA from 1 species